UUCUCCUCCUGUCCCCACUACCUCCUCAAUGAGUAAAUGCCUGAACAAAUCCAUAGGCAGCCACCUGAGAGCCUGACUCCAGGGAGCAGGGGGUACAGUUAGCCUCAGCCCAUGCUAAAAUAGAAGCCUGACCUUAGUUUGGUUAAUGCCACACUCUACCACAGGCAAUUGACACCAGGGCUCUCCCAUUUUAUAAUAGCACAGAUCCAGUCUCAUUAUGCGUUAAAGAGUUUGUUCCCCUAAAACUCUUACUGCCCCCAAAGGUUUAGAAUUUAAAAAUAACAUCGACAAUCUCUGUUCAAAAAAAGUGAACAAUAUACUUAAACGUUCUUCUUGUAACAAUAGCCUGCAUCUUCCUGAAGUGCUAUAAAAAUUCAGGGAGCAACUUCACCCAGUUGUGAGAGAUAAAAGAAUAGCAACUAAAACAGGCAGUCAGACCAAGGCAGGGGGGCAGCCUGUUGUCUCUGGGUUGAAAACCAUCCUGAAUGCUAAAAGAAAUCACUCUAAAGAGGGGUGUGUGGGUGCAUAUUGACAGACUUCAGAAGCUGAGGUUUCUGAGUUUAGCCUCCUGAAUGAAGCAGGACUUUUGACAUACUACCCCCUGGGGCCGCUGCCUUAGGUGUGAUGCUAUUGGAGCCAAGGAUCUGUCUGUGAUGGGGUCCAAAAUUUACACACCACGGAUGAGAUGGAGCAAACAUGUGGAGCUUUUUUUUUUUUUUUUUAAUGUUUCUAUAACCAUUUGAUCCUUACACUUCCUAGGAGGAAGUACAAUCAGGAUCCCCAUUUAGAAGAUGAGCAGCCAGUAACAGAGAUUUAAGUUAUUUGCCCAAGGCCACAUAGCUAGCAAACAGUGCCAAUUCAAGAGCAGGUCAUCUGACUCAAGACUUUAUGUUCUUUGUCACUAUACUAAACUGUGAGAAAUAGAAUUAAACUUGCCAAUUAACAUGAUCUGCCCAUCUCAGGUUUACACUUUCAAAUGAAAUCAAUUUCUUUUGAGUAAAUGCUCAGUCAGGUCCUCACACUUAUGGGAGAGGGGCUUCUGGUGGCUGUACUGGUCCCUGAGCAGUGGGUGGACAUCUACUGCUGGGAAGCUCUGUAGUCUGUUCUCAGUUGGUCUCUUUCCCUGGCUGGUCUCUGGCCUUGGCAGCAUACUGCCUCUGGCUGCCUCAUGCCACGAGAGGGUGGUCAUGAGUGUCCCCCGGGCCCCUCUUCCACAGGUAUUGGACAUACCCCCACAGGUCCCCUUCUGCUGGCAUUGAGCGUCCUGUGGACCCUCACCCCAGCCAUCCACUGCCCCAGCUUUGGCACUCAGUACCUUUAGCUGGCUGAGCAGGCUUUUGGUCUUCUCUCUAGGCCCACCAGAAACCCAGGAGUCCUUGCAAAGCCAACCUUGGCUUCCAGGAAAAGAAAAGGACUACCUUUAUCCUUUCCAACUCAUAUCAUCCUCUCUGGACUCUCAUUAGGCUACCAAGCCUUUUCCAAACCACCAUCAGACGUGCUCCAAAGGGUUGUACAGUUUUCUCAGUCUACACUCAGGGAGGUUGAAAUGUAAACAUUACAACUCAGAUGUGCAAAAAAAAAGAAAAACUAUGUAGCUCUUUCUUAUUUUCCAUUAUCUAUCCCAACUUGCUAUGGGGCCCCAUUCCCAGUCAGUAGCAGAGACAAUUAAAAAAAAAACUUAAACCUCAGUCUCUUCUGCUUUUAGGAAAGUCUCCUUCAGUUUAACUCAUUCUUUUGGGGGUAAAUAUUCAAUCAAUUCAAAGUUAAAUUCCUUCUCAGUGCUGAUUUUUUCAAAUUUCUCAAGGGGGCCCUUUUCUCCCUCUUCCUUUCCAAGACGGCCUCUCAGGAGUGAGGGAGGUUGAGAGUGGGCACAUUAGUUCUCCAGAGAGCAGGUCUUCUUUGGGUUGGUCUGGUCUCUGAUGCCCUCUGCUGGUAUCCGCCAAGGUGUGGCUAGUCGUGCCUGUCCCACUGCUGGACUCUGGGGUCCCUGCCAUUGCCUCAAGAUGUGAAGCCUCUACCCUUUGUGAUCACCUUGUCUUGUCCCUAGGCCUCUGCACAGUCACUGUUUUAUCAAAACUUCUGUGAACCCCUUCCAGGUUCAUGUGGAACCCUGGGUUCUCCUACAUACCAUUUGGAGAUGCUGGGGACCAGCAUUAAAGAAAAAUUAUCCAGACACUUGUAAAAAUGGUAAGGAAGACUUUAUUCAAGACUGCUGUAGUAGAGAUGAUAUCUAUUGCAAUAGGAGAAAGACAUUGGGUUCAACUCUGAAUACAGUAGAGAUAGCUUAGGAUUUAUAGUCAAUGAGCAGAGUGAAGGAGUUGGUGGAUGAAAAAUCACUAAGAAGAGAUAUUAAGAGUAGGGGGCACUCUUGCUAAACUGGCCUUACAGCAUUCUUGCUAAAGGCAGGCUAAGGACUUACACAUCAAAGUGAGGGAUGAGGAACUUGAUCAGAUAUCUAGGGUGGGGAAUGAUUCAGCAAGAUCCUUCGUUAAGACUGGGCUAUGCAGCCCAAAGUCAGGAUGAGACCAAGGUCAAGGUCUAGUCAAGAAAAGGACUCAGAAGAGCCUGACCAAAGUUUGGUCAAACAGAAAAUCUUUAUUACCAGACAGCAUCUCAGGCCAAUCUAUCUGAACAUCCAUCAGCCUGGACAUU
rnacentral:lncRNA from 1 species